rnacentral:rRNA from 1 species
UACGUAGGGUGCGAGCGUUGUCCGGAAUUAUUGGGCGUAAAGAGCUCGUAGGCGGUCUGUCGCGUCGAAUGUGAAAACCCGGGGCUCAACUCCGGGCUUGCAUUCGAUACGGGCAGGCUAGAGUUCGGUAGGGGAGUCUGGAAUUCCUGGUGUAGCGGUGAAAUGCGCAGAUAUCAGGAGGAACACCGGUGGCGAAGGUGGGACUCUGGGCCGAUACUGACGCUGAGGAGCGAAAGCGUGGGGAGCAAACAGG